UACGUAGGGCGCAAGCGUUAUCCGGAAUUAUUGGGCGUAAAGAGCUCGUAGGCGGUCUGUCGCGUCUGCUGUGAAAACUCGGGGCUUAACCCCGGGCCUGCAGUGGGUACGGGCAGACUAGAGUGCGGUAGGGGAGACUGGAAUUCCCUGGUGGUAGCGGUGAAAUGCGCAGAUAUCAGGGAGGGAACACCAAAUGGCGAAGGCAGCUCGCUGGGACGGUACUGACGCUGAGACGCGAAAGCGUGGGGAGCGAACAGG
rnacentral:rRNA from 1 species